AGCAGCCGCGGUAAUUCCAGCUCCAAUAGCGUAUAUUAAAGUUGUUGCAGUUAAAAAGCUCGUAGUUGAAUUUCGGGAUUCUACCGUCGGUCGGGCUAACAAGUCUGUACUGGUGUGUAGAAUUUCUACCUUCUGGGGAACCAUCAUGUUAUUAAUUUAGCGUGGUGGGAAACCAGGACCUUUACCUUGAAAAAAUUAGAGUGUUCAAAGCAGGCUUACGUCUGAAUACAUUAGCAUGGAAUAAUAGAAUAGGACGGUGGUCCUGUUUGUUGGUUCUGAACCACCGUAAUGAUUAAUAGGGAUAGUUGGGGGCAUUAGUAUUCAAUUGUCAGAGGUGAAAUUCUUGGAUUUAUUGAAGACUAACUUCUGCGAAAGCAUUUGCCAAGGAUGUUUCAUUAUCAAGAACGAAAGUUAGGGGAUCGAAGACGAGUCAGAUACCGUCGUAGUCUUAACCAUAAAACCUAUGCCGACUAGGGAUCGGACGAUGUUAACCUUUAUUGACUCGUUCGCGCCUUACGGG
rnacentral:rRNA from 1 species